rnacentral:tRNA from 1 species
GGAGAACUAGUCCAACUAAGACAGCUGAUUUCGGCUCAUCUAAUUAUGGUUCAACCCCAUAGUUCUCCU